UUUAGAUGGUUUCUCAUGGCCAUUAUUUGGAUUAUCCAACUUAUUGGAUAUACUUUGCUUAUUUUGCCUAAGUAGAAUGUUUGACGGGGAAAAAAUCACUGAAAUGUUACAAUUUUUAAAGUCAUAUUUUCAAUUCAUUUACUUAUGCUUUUUAUUAGAAUAAGGACAAGUGUCAAUUUCUUUAAAUUCAUCCUCAGGCAUACCUCAGAUAAUUGUGGGUUUGGUUCUAGACUACUGCAAUAAAGCAAAUAUCACAAAGCAAGUUACAUGAAUUUUUUGUUUUUCCAGUGCAUAUAAAAUUGUGCAAUAGCAUUAAGUCUAAAAAAACAAUGUACUUACCUUACUUUAAAAAUACUUUAGGAGUUCCUGUUGUGGCUCAGCAGUAAUAAACCCGACUAGUAUCCAUGAGGACGUGGGUUCAUCCCCUUGCCCUGCUCGGUGGGUUAAGGAUCCGGCAUUGACGUGGCUCAGAUCUGGCAUUGCUGUGGUUGUUGCUUGGCUGUGGUGGCAGCUGCAGCUCUGAUUCGACCCCUAGUCUGAGAACUUCCAUAUCCCGAGGGUGUGCCCCCACCCCCCCCAAAAAAAAGACCAAAAAAAAAAAAAAACUAUUGAUAAAAAAAUACUAACCAUCAUCUGAGCCUCUCAAGAGUUGGUGUCUUUUUGCAAUAGUGACAUCAAAGAUCACAGAGCAUUGUAAAAAGUAAAAUAAUGAAAAAUUUUGAGCUAUUGCGAGAAUUACCAAAAUGUUCACACAGACAGGAAAUGAGCAAAAGCUACUGGAAAAAUGGUGCUGAUAGACUUGAUUAACACAGGCUUGCCAUAAACCUUCAAUAUAUAAAACAUGCAACAUCUGUGAAGCACAGUAAGAGAAGCUCUGCAUAUAUUCAUUUUCUGCCUAAUAAUCUGCAGAAUAUUGAACCCAAGGACACAACCAAAACCAGUUACUUAGGUGGGCUUUUUCUAUAGCUGUUAUAGGCAAAUGUAAGCAAAUGCAGAUUAUCAAUUAUUAGACACUUUUUAACAAGGAAAUUUUGAGCCUCAUGCAAUUCAACAUAGUACCACAGCUCUAUCUAAUUCUAAGUAUUGUGCUGUUUGAAGUUUUUACUUCACAUCAAUUCAGUAUGAUUGGGUGAGAACUUAUACUUCUUUGGAAGAGAUGAAAGAAGACAAGAUGCUUAUUAACUAAUGAUAGAAAUUGGGAAAUGGUUAGCUCUUCUUUUUUUCAUAUUAUCAUCUUUAGUCUCAUAAACACUAUCUUGUGGAGAUUGUUCACCCAUUGCCAUUUAACUCAUUUGGAAGAAUUUUUUUUUUUUUUUUUUGUCUUUUUUGUCCCUUUGGGGCCAUACCCGCAGCAUAUGGAGGUUCCCAGGCUAGGGGUCUAAUCAGAGCUGUAGCCACUAGCCCAUGCCGGAGCCACAACAACGCCAGAUCUGAGCAGAGUCUGCUACCUACACCACAGCUCAGGGCAACACUGGAUCCUUGGAAGAAAAAUUCUUUAGGUGUCAAUAUUGUUAUGAGGAGAAUGUAGGAAGAUUAAAAGAUUUUUCUUGUGAAGGAUAUUUUUAUUGGAAGAGAUGCUAGUGAUGAUGAUAGCAAUAAGAAUAGAAAGAAUGAAUUAUUAAAAUGAGUGUUUUAGAAAGUAUGAGAAGAACUGAGAUUAAAUUGGAAAUACUGAAGUUAGGAGAUUGGGAACUGUUUAUGUUAACGGACCAUCGCUAAGAAUGCUUGUAUAAACAUUUAUUAAGUGGAUUUCUUAUUCUUUUUUAGGUGCCUCUUUUUCUUUUGAUUCUUCACUAGGCCUUCCCAGCUUUUAUUUAGUGCCUAUUCACUGUGCUUACAUCAUGAGCAGAUUUGUGUGGUGAUUAAGAGUCUUACCUCUUAUCAUAUGCUUUUUAGCUCAUAUGGCACAGUGACCUUGAAUGAACUGGACACCUGACGGGUGUAUCCCAGCCUUGGUUUUCUCUUUCGUAAAAGGAAGAUAGUAUUAACUAUAUGAUAAGUGAAAAUUAAUGUAUCUAAAACAGUGCUCUUCAAAAUAUUUUGCUUGCAUACUCAAAAGAAUUUUGGAAAAAAUUUUUAAGUUGACAUCUGUUAUUUAUCACUGGGUUUAUUAGUUUAAAAAUAGGAGUUCCCGUCGAGGCGCAGCGGAAAUGAAUCUGACUAGGAGCCGCCAGGGUUCGAACCCAAAACAUGGUUCCUAGUUGGAUUCGUUUCCUCUGCGCCAUGACAGGAAAUCUGGUUUGCUUGUUUUUUAAUCUGUUCAGAAGACAGGCUACUUCAAAGCCCUUGGUUGUUUUUUUCCUGAGUAAAGUUGGAUUCUUAGUAUUAUUUUUGAGGUAUAAUCUUAAAUAUUGUUAGAUAAAAGCAAAAUAAAAACAUUGUGUUUAUUUCCUUUAAAUAUCUUAGUUUACUUCAACCUUUAUGAUAGAAAGGGUAAAGCUUUACUGAGUGCAAGUCAUCCUGAGGGAUAAAUUGUUUUUAAUGCAAGUUACUUUCUCCUGUUUUGUAGGAGAGGAAUCAGGUCUGAGUUGGCAAUAAAACAGAAAGGUCAUUUCAGCUAUUCUGUCUCAUUUUCAAGGGGUUGAUAAAAGAGAUCAUCAGUCAUUUGAAUUAGAGCCCCAUGAGAUUUUAUUCAUUUCUAUUUUCAUAUGAUUGAUAAGGUGAGAAGAAGCCUUUCCGCACAGAGAAAGAAGGGAACUGUUUUCAGUAAGCGCAUAGUAGUAAUAGUAGUAGGUCUUACAUAGUACUUGCCUUAUGCCAGGUACUGUAUGUGUAUGAAUUCACUUAGUUUUUUUACAGUUCUGUGCAGGAGGUUAUUGUUAGCCCUGUUUUUAAAGAUGGAUUAAACUGAGGCACUGACAGAUGAAGUAGACUUGUCCAAGGUGACAAAGCUAGGAAGUGGCAGAGCUAGGAUUCAGACCUGGAAUCUGGCUCUAUAGUGGUUAUCCUCCUAACUAUUGGAUUAAAAUCCCUUUCAUCCUGUGAACAUCAGUCGUCUCUUGGACCUAGCUGGAGAUGGAGUUGGUGGAAAUGUGGAGCCCAGUUCAAGGUUGGGAAAGAACCUUGUCAAAUGCCUCAUUAGGCGUUCCAUUAGCCCCCACACUUGGAUGCCAGUUUCUGUCAGAAGAUAGGGCCCUUAAUUACAGUGCUGGGAGUUUGGGGGAGAAACUUGACUGUUAUUCUUCCUGGAAAAGAAUACAAAAAAUAGUUUAUAUCUGUUCAAGAAGAGACGUUUAAUGAAAAUAUUUUAAUUGAGACUUUCUGUAAUACAAGAAUCGGAUGCAAGGAAAUAUGUUUAAAUAUUAAGCAUGAUGUGCUCUUAAGACUUGAAACUUAAUGGAAACCUUUCUUUGCUGCCUUCCAUGUUCUGUUAGGUAGGAUUUAAAUUAUUGUCACGAUCUGUUGUAAAAAAGAAUCAGUCCCAUGUUAAAGGGUUGAUGUUUAGGAUACCCACUAGAAAUAGCAGUAGAUUAUAUUAAUCAAAUAAAGGCUUCUGACAAACUUAGAUAGGAUGUCUGUCUUAUUUCCUCUAAGCGCUUCAGCUGUUUUGCUCUUGUGUUUUAUUUUCUGUGGUUAAAAAUUAAAUAUAUACCUUAAUAUUGAAGUUUUAAAAGACAAAUUUUAUUUUCAUUGAAUAUACAUUUUAGAUAAUAUACUUCUAACUUGCAUUUUCAUAAAUUCCCAGCUCCUGUUUUUAUCCUCUCUUAUUGAAGAUAUUUAUGGCAAAAUGCAAUAGGUUUUGGAGCUCCUGCUGUGGUGCAAUGGGAAUGGCAGUCUCUUGGCAACGCUGGGACAUGGGUUCGAUCCCCGGCCAGGCACAGUGGAUUAAGGAUCCAGCUUAGUUCGCUGCUGCAGCUCAGAUCUGAUCCCUGGCCCGGGAGCUCUAUGUGCCACAGGACAG
rnacentral:lncRNA from 1 species